UACGAAGGGGGCUAGCGUUGCUCGGAAUCACUGGGCGUAAAGGGUGCGUAGGCGGCUGAUUAAGUCAGGGGUGAAAUCCUGGAGCUCAACUCCAGAACUGCCUUUGAUACUGAAGAUCUUGAGUUCGGGAGAGGUGAGUGGAACUGCGAGUGUAGAGGUGAAAUUCGUAGAUAUUCGCAAGAACACCAGUGGCGAAGGCGGCUCACUGGCCCGAUACUGACGCUGAGGUGCGAAAGCGUGGGGAGCAAACAGG
rnacentral:rRNA from 1 species